rnacentral:rRNA from 1 species
GUGGAUUAGUGGCGAACGGGUGAGUAACACGUGAGUAACCUGCCCUUCACUUUGGGAUAACUCCGAGAAAUCGGGGCUAAUACCGGAUAUGACUACUGGCCGCAUGGUUGGUGGUGGAAAGUUUUUCGGUGAGGGAUGGGCUCGCGGCCUAUCAGUUUGUUGGUGAGGUAGUGGCUCACCAAGGCGAUGACGGGUAGCCGGCCUGAGAGGGCGACCGGCCACACUGGGACUGAGACACGGCCCAGACUCC